GACGAACGCUGGCGGCGUGCUUAACACAUGCAAGUCGAACGAAGUGGCGAACGGGUGAGUAACGCGUAAUCAACCUGCCCUUCAGUGGGGGACAACAGUUGGAAACGACUGCUAAUACCGCAUACUGAAGGAGGGGAUUGCGUCUGAUUGGGUAGUGGGGGGGGUAACGGCCCACCAAGGCGAUGAUCAGUAGCCGGUCUGGGAGGAGGUCCGGCCACAUUGGGACUGAGGCACGGCCCAGACGCCUACGGGAGGCAGCAGUGGGGAAUCUUGCGCAAUGGACGGAAGGCUGACGGAGCAACGCCGGGUGAGGGAUUACGGCCUGCGGGUUGUAAAGCUCUGUUAAGCGGGACGCGGUACCGGAAUAGAAAGCCACGGCUAACUACGUGCCAGCAGCCGCGGUAAUUC
rnacentral:rRNA from 1 species